AACUGAGGUUAAGCAAAAGCACAGAAUCAUGAAAAUUAUUCUUUGAAAUGGCAAAGAUUUCUGUGGCUGGAUCAUGGGAUUUAUUGAGUGGAGCGAUUUCUCCUCAGAAGACCAGACACAUGCAGCAUAAAUACUUUUUGGAGAAAAACACUAUGAGGAGCAUUGAGAAAGUCCUCAUUUGGAAUACUUAGCUGGAUUUACCUAAACUGAACUUUCCCUUCCUUGACCCAGGGCAACCUCUGCCAAGCCCACCACCCUCCAGCUCCUACGCCAUGAAAGAUCGAAGAAGAUAAUCAGAAAAACUACCCAAGAAAAGGAAAAGGGAGAAUCAGUUACAUAUCCAGCAAGCCAGAAAACAAGAAAACCCAAAUCUGUUCCAGUUCUCUAGUUUCACCUUAAAGGCAAAGAACUGUAGAUGCUUGUGAGGAGCUCUUCAAAGCCUAAAUUCAUAGCCUCUCUACGCGGGAGGUUACCAGCAUCUGAAGAAAAACAACCACUACUAGAAAAGCUCUUCUUUGUUUUCAUUCUUCGCAGUCCUUCAGGAAACUCUUGAUAAUGUGAAAUGUUAUUACUGCAAAUGUUGGCUCAAGCAAGUUUACUCUAGAGUCUGACUAUCACUGACUUGUUCGCAAAAUAAAAUCAUUUUUAAAGCCUACGAGGAAAGCCAAGAGCAAACCACAAAUCAGAAAACCACCAAGGCGGGCUGGCCUCAUUGCCAGAAUUUAAUGUGAUCUAAUGGGAGGACAACAAGAUGUGAGAAUUUGAUUUUACGAUGCUCCAUGUAACAUUUGGCAAUACGGAGGGGUUGGACCCAACUUCCCCAUCCUUAAGCAAACAUUUGAAGUAAUGUUUCACUUUCUCAUCAGUUUUAAUUCUGUCAGCGAGAGGGUAGAGAUUCAGCCGGCCCUGCUCAUUUUAAAAGUGCCGUCUGCUUUGGAUGCUCAUAGAUUUGCUUAAUAUCCAUUUGUAUAAGAUGAAGACGGGCAGGUGGUGAAGCGGCCAGGAAAAUAGGAUGAAGCUAUUUAGUGGCAGUGUACCAACUAGACUGCCACUCUCUUCUGCACUGGUGAUUUAUUCCAUGGGUGGGAAGGCAGGAAUAGGGCUAACUUAAGCAACAUUCUUUCACAAGCAAAAACUAACCUCAAUGAGAAAGAGUCCAAUCUGGGCUGAAUCACGUUGCCCAGUCUCACACCAAAUGGGACUGGAACUCAGGUGGAGCUCUAUUUUCCAUCACUCAUUCUUUGAAAAAGAAAUAAAAUGGUAGCAACAGAGAAACGCUUUGUAUAUGUCAAAUUAACAACGGAGGACCCUAUGGAAUAAAGAAAGCCAGUCAAGAAAUCCCAUAGAAGGGCACAUGAGCAAUGAAAAAUACAUUAAAGUUACAUAUUUCAUGCAGUUUUUAUUUCUGUUGCCAGGACAAUGGAAUGAGAAUCAGAUCUCUUUUUUUCCUUCUUACAGAAUAAUGCAACCUUACCAAUGCCAAACUCCUACUUACACUGUCAUUUUAAUCCAGUUACAAAGUUGGCCCAGUGAAGAAAUGUAAAACGCAUAGAGUCAAGUUUCUUAAAGCAAUAGUUUGCUAAAGGAAGUAUAAUAAAUACAGGGUCUAGGAAAAAAUUACUAGAACUUCUAUUUCUAUUGACUUUUAAGCUAAACACUAAGAAGGAAAGAAAGCCUCACUAAGAGUUAAAAUCUGGAUGACACCAGUUGUCCUCAUUUGGUACAGAUACAGACAGUCACCUCUCACCCACCACCUGUGGACUGUAAGUCUUCCUGAAAGAAGGUUGAGGGUUCAACAGUGCUGAGGGUAUGAUAGGGGUAGCAUCAGUUCAGGUAGGCUGGGCUGCAGUAACACAUAGACCAAGCAGGUAAUGGCUCAACACAAUAGGAAGUUAGUUCUUGCUUAGGGUGCCAUUCUGGUGAUGAGAUCAGCAGGACAGCUCAAGCCAUGCCAUCACUUAGAUGAGGCUCUGCCAACUUCGGCUUAUGGUUAGCAUAGCCAUCUGCAUCGCUUCCUGCAGGAGGAAGGAAGAACCUUGGAGAAUCACUUCUAGGAGGCUUUUUAUGGGACCAGACUGAAAGUGGUACAUGUUAUUGAAGCUCAUCCUCCAUUGGCCAUGACUUAGUCUCAGAGCCACACCUAACCACAACGGAAGCCAGGAAAUGUAGCCUGGUUAUGUGCUCAAGAAGAAGAAACAAAUUAUGGCAAACAGUCAGCAGUUUCUACCAUAGGUGUGCUCAUCCAUUCAGUGGAUUGCAAUGUAUUGCAAUCGACAUGUUCCCCUUACACAGAUUUAACCAUUUUAAUAAAAUUUAACCUCAUAAAAUGAACAGGUAGCUGCAAAAUAUUCCUACUACAAAGUUAAAAAUUGAAGAUAAUAUUAAUAAUACGAACACAAGCCAACCACAAGAAAAGAACAAAGCUAAAGCCUCAUAUUUUAAACUCUUUGUCAACAAUAAUGUGAGGUUUUUUUUAAAAAGACUAUUAAAUUACUUCUGGAAAGAAGUCAAACCAAAUAUUUUUUAAAAUUUUAAGUUUAUUUGAAAUACAGAUUUAUAUCCACUUUUAUAAUAAUGAACCUUACAUACCAUAUAUACCUGAAACAUGGCUAAUAAGAAUGUGAACAUAUCAAAAUUAGCAAAAAAUUUAAGUAGCCAUAAAAUAAACAUGGAGAAAAGCUUCUGUAAUUUUAUGUGCAGUUUAAAGUCAUGUUAUACUUAAUCUAUUAUUCUGAAAAAUUUUACUAAACUUGAUGAGAGAUGUUUAGAGGUCUCCUUUGAGAUUUCUCAUUAAAUAAUAAAGUACAAAAAGCCACA
rnacentral:lncRNA from 1 species